AAUGCAACAGACAGCAGAUACUUAAUCUCUGAUAAUUGCUGCUGUGAUUGGUUUCUCUUUUAUUAGAUGUCAAUACGCUUGCCGAUUUGAAAUCAGCUCAAGAGAAGAACAGCACAAUCAUGAGAGAACUAGAGGAACUGGAAACUAACUGCACCAGAGUUCAAGAAUCUCUCCCCCUUUCUGUCGCCCAGUCUUGUAAUCUCACUGUGAAUGGCUGGAUAGCUUGUCAUGGAAAGCUGUAUUUAUUCAACUCUGAUAAACUGAACUGGUCAAGCAGUCGUGCUUUCUGUAUUUCAAAAGGAGCAGAUCUGGUCACCAU